rnacentral:rRNA from 1 species
UACGUAGGGGGGCAAGCGUUGUCCGGAUUUAUUGGGCGUAAAGAGCGUGUAGGCGGCCAAACAGGUCAGCUGUGAAAACUCGAGGCUCAACCUCGAGACGUCGGUUGAAACCGUAUGGCUAGAGUCCGGAAGAGGAGAGUGGAAUUCCCGGUGUAGCGGUGAAAUGCGCAGAUAUCGGGAAGAACACCCGUGGCGAAGGCGGCUCUCUGGGACGGUACUGACGCUGAGACGCGAAAAGCGUGGGGGAGCAAACAGG